rnacentral:rRNA from 1 species
AACGAACGCUGGCGGCAGGCCUAACACAUGCAAGUCGAGCGAGAACUCCGGUCCUAGCGGCGGUCGGGUGAGUAACGCGUGGGAACGUGCCCUUUGCCUCGGAAUAGUCCUUGGAAACUGGGAGUAAUAUCGGAUGAGUUCCUCGGGGGAAAGAUUCGACGUGGAAGGAACGGCCGGCGAUGGUUUAGGUGGUUGGUGUGGUAAUGGCCUAUCAAGCCGUCGCUCCAUAGCUGGGUUGAGAGGAUGGUCAGCCACACUGGGUCUGGGACACGGUCGAGACUCCUACGCGAGGCGGGAGUGGGGGAUCUUGGACAAUGGCGUAGGUCCUGAACGAGCCAUGCCGCGUGAGCGCUGAUGGCCUGAGGGUUGUGAAGCUCUUUAAGCUGGGGAGAUAAUGACGGUACCAGCAGAAGAAGCCCCGGCUAACUCCGUG